rnacentral:rRNA from 1 species
UACAGAGGUCUCAAGCGUUGUUCGGAUUCAUUGGGCGUAAAGGGUGCGUAGGCGGCGCGGUAAGUCGGGUGUGAAAUCUCAGGGCUCAACCCUGAAACUGCAUUCGAUACUGCUCUGCUCGAGGACUGGAGAGGAGAUUGGAAUUCACGGUGUAGCAGUGAAAUGCGUAGAUAUCGUGAGGAAGACCAGUGGCGAAGGCGGAUCUCUGGACAGUUCCUGACGCUGAGGCACGAAGGCCAGGGGAGCAAACGGG